GUGGUUUAAUUCGAAGCAACGCGAAGAACCUUACCAGGUCUUGACAUCCUUUGACCACUCUGGAGACAGAGCUUUCCCUUCGGGGACAAAGUGACAGGUGGUGCAUGGUUGUCGUCAGCUCGUGUCGUGAGAUGUUGGGUUAAGUCCCGCAACGAGCGCAACCCUUGAUUUUAGUUGCCAGCAUUUAGUUGGGCACUCUAAAGUGACUGCCGGUGCAAGCCGGAGGAAGGUGGGGAUGACGUCAAAUCAUCAUGCCCCUUAUGACCUGGGCUACACACGUGCUACAAUGGAUAGUACAAAGGGUCGCGAAGCCGCGAGGUGGAGCUAAUCCCAUAAAACUAUUCUC
rnacentral:rRNA from 1 species